rnacentral:rRNA from 2 species
AUCAACUUUCGAUGGUAGGAUAGAGGCCUACCAUGGUGGUAACGGGUAACGGGGUGUUAGGGCACGACACCGGAGAGGGAGCCUGAGAAACGGCUACCACAUCCAAGGAUGGCAGCAGGCGCGCAAAUUACCCAAUCCCGACACGGGGAGGUAGUGACAAUAAAUAACAAUACGGGGUUCUUUAGGAUCUCGUAAUUGGAAUGAGUACAAUUUAAAUCUCUUAACGAGGAACAAUUGGAGGGCAAGUCUGGUGCCAGCAGCCGCGGUAAUUCCAGCUCCAAUAGCGUAUAUUAAAGUUGUUGCAGUUAAAAAGCUCGUAGUUGAAUUUCGGGGUUAGUAGGUUGGUCAUGCCUCUGGUAUGUACUGGUCUCACUGAUUCCUCCUUCCUGAUGAACCUUAAUGCCAUUUAUUUGGUGUUUUGGGGAAUUUGGACUGUUACUUUGAAAAAAUUAGAGUGUUUAAAGCAAGCUAACGCUUGAAUACAUUAGCAUGGAAUAAUGAAAUAGGACGUUCGAUCCUAUUUUGUUGGUUUCUAGGAUUGACGUAAUGAUUAAUAGGGAUAGUUGGGGGCAUUAGUAUUCAAUUGUCAGAGGUGAAAUUCUUGGAUUUAUUGAAGACUAACUACUGCGAAAGCAUUUGCCAAGGAUGUUUUCAUUAAUCAAGAACGAAAGUUAGGGGAUCGAAGACGAUCAGAUACCGUCGUAGUCUUAACCAUAAACUAUGCCGACUAGGGAUCGGAUGAUGUUAAUUUUUUAAUGACUCAUUCGGCGCCUUACGGGAAACCAAAGUGUUUGGGUUC